UCUCGCGGUCACUUUUCUCCCCUCGAUCAAAUUAUCGAUCAGUGACUCCCGUAAACGAGAGCCCGCGCUCCCGGUCAACAGUCCUUUCCCCGACCGCCCGGGGAAACGAGACUCGCCGAUCCGCGACGAAACGAAACGAAACGAAACGAAGCGAAGUCGAGCCUCUGCCGGUCUAACCCUGUCCCGUCGUGUUCACCGUGUUCCUAGCGGACCGCCGCAUUUUCUCACGCGGAAACCGAUCCGAGAACUGUCGCGAGCAUCUCGCGUCGAUUCGACGAUCCGUGGACGAACAUCGGGGGAAAACAACGAGCGACGCCCGUCGUGCGACCCGAUCUCUUUUAAACGUUGCGUUUAACGCGCAAUCGUUGCGUCUCGUUCCCCGAAGCCGGAACAAGGGGCCCGAGAGAAAGAAAAGUUCGCGAGGAAUGAAUCUGUUCUAAAUAAGAGGGAACACCGAUACCGAGUUCGGUAUGCGGCGGUACAGUAGAUCCGAUAAAAAAAAUUCGUCUUCCAAAGGAAAAGUGGGUCCCGCCGCCAGCCCGUUUCCAUAUAUGCAGAUAUCUUAGGAGACAGCUCCUUUCACGCAAGGACCAACGAUCAGAUUUUGACAACGAGCGUACAACGAGGAUUUUUUUACGACUGAAAGCUCGGUGUAUUAUGUGGCCAGCGCUGGGAAAAAGAUAGAUUAUUGAAACAGUAAGUAGAGUAGUAUAAAUAUUUGUAUCUUCUCAUCCGACACAAAGUUGGCGGAACGAACUAUUUUCCAAAUGAAAGUUACAUAUGGAAACAGCAUUUUAACACGUUCAAUGCCACGGGGGCCACCGGUGACCGGCACUUAACUUGGCGGUGACGCCAC